GAUGAACGCUGGCGGUAUGCUUAACACAUGCAAGUCGAACGCAGACUUUCGGGUCUGAGUGGCGGACGGGUGAGUAACGCGUGAGAAUCUGCUUCAGGUUGGGGACAACCAAGGGAAACGGUGGCUAAUACCCAAUGUGCCGGUAAGGUGAAAGAUUAAUUGCCUGAAGAUGAGCUCGCGUCUGAUUAGCUAGUUGGUGGGGUAAGAGCUCACCAAGGCGACGAUCAGUAGCUGGUCUGAGAGGACGAUCAGCCACACUGGGACUGAGACACGGCCCAGACUCCUACGGGAGGCAGCAGUGGGGAAUUUUCCGCAAUGGGCGAAAGCCUGACGGAGCAAUACCGCGUGAGGGAGGAAGGCUCUUGGGUUGUAAACCUCUUUUCUCAGGGAAGAAGGCAAUGACGGUACCUGAGGAAUCAGCAUCGGCUAACUCCGUG
rnacentral:rRNA from 1 species